GGUGGUUCAGUGGUAGAGUGCUUGUCUUGCAUGCAUGAGACCCUGGGUUCAAUUCCUCAGCACCA
rnacentral:tRNA from 1 species